AUCUCGAAUGCAGCCGAAGCGGAGCUGCUCAGCCGCCACAGCUCCCCUAUAUUUUCUAACUCUUUAACCCCUUUCACCUUCACCCUCACCACGUCCCCAGUUUACAGACUUGGCCGCCGGCAGACCCACGCCUUGCUGCCCUCCAAUUUUUUCCCUUAUGUAAUCCCCUUCUCUACGGCAAGUUCUGUCCCCUACAUGGUGUCCCAUUUUCGAGACGAAUUUGUUCAACAUGGUGACGAUAUUGAUAUUAAUGCUAUUGAGGAUUUGGAGGAGAAGAGUGACUCAUUGACUAGUAGGUACGCUGACGGGUCCGCUUUUAUUGAGCUCCUAAAGCGGUUGCCUUCUUGACCUCACUUAGCCGUAUAGGUGUUGCUUUGCAUUUAUUUUACUCCGUCAUCUUUCUCGUUUUUGCUUUUAUUGAUUUAUCUGGGUUGUUCUGCAUUUUGCUUCUCGAUCGGCAAGCCCAUUGCAUGUGUAUGUUUAAACUGAUUUGUUCUUGCGAGCAUCUGAAUUGCUCUGAAUUUUCGUUCUAAAUUUUUUUAGAACUUCUUUUUUUCAUAGCUUGUAAUCAAUAAAGCUAUUUUCUUUUUUUUCUUUGAAAUUUUUGUCCCAUUAUACCAUUACUUAUGUUUACUCAUAAAAAAAAACUAAAAUCCUGUUUGGAUAAUAUUUUCCUAUGAUUUCAUUGAUAUGUGUUUUUCCAUGGUAUUAUUUCUAUUGUAUGGUUUCAUAAUGUAUUGUGCCUUAUUAUGUUUAGAAGAUUGUAUAACUUAUCCUGGUUUUAUAACUGUGAUUGUUUGAUUGGUUUGAUUGUAUAGUAUUGUCCUAAAUGGUAAUUAAAUUACCCAAAUAAUUUCAUUUAUUUUUUUGUAUGCAAUUUGAUCAUUAAUUUCUCAUUCUUAAUAAUUUAAUCUACAUUCUAUAUUUAUUCCAAUUCACAAAUAGUUGUCCAUUUCUUUUUAAAAAAUAAUAUUUAAUAUAUUAAAUAUUUGAUCAAUAAAUGAAAUUCACAAGAUAAUAAUAUAUUAAUAAGGGUGAUUAUUGGGUUGGAGGGGUUGGUUUGGUUAAUUAAAGUAAGUAAUUGCUGUAAGAAUAAAUUGGUCAUAUAUAAAAUAUAUGAUGGCAAAAGAGUAAACAAAUUUUCUACAACAAUACAAAACCGCCAAUUUGGUGGUUAAAGAAUCUAUGAGUUUUUAUGGUUUUAUAACCAUGGCAUUUAAUCACCAGAAAAUCAUACAAUAUAGAGUAUAAUCUUCCCAAAUAUGACUGUCUCUUGAAACAAUACAAUGCAUUACAUGACCAUGGAAAAACAUCAUCCAAGCAAUGUACGAAAUACCCUAUUUCAUUUAUGCAUAGUGGACAUUCGUAUUUUGUUACCUAAGGAUAAGGAUGUCCGCUUGGGGGUAAAAGUUUUUGUUCUGUGGCAAUAGCUUGAUCAUUGAAACUACAUGAGAUUUUGGGCAGAAACACGAUGUGUUAACCAUGGGCUCCAUGCAUAUUUGAGUGAUGGAUAACGUUCCUUUUUUCUUUCCCUUUCUUUCUUUCAAGUAUAGGUUUGUAGUUAAAUGGUUGUGUUCACUAUUCAGGUUUUUAGUUGAAGAAAACUAGCUGAGUGGAGCACUCCUUUGACACAAAGGAGUAUGCCAAGGGCAUCAAAGUUGCUGGUAGGGCAAAGAAUUAAAUAUUCUUAUCAGUAUUUGGUCGCUCAUUACUUGUUGAUCACGUGGAAGCAACAUAUGAGGAGUUAAAGAAUUAAAUAUUUCAACUUGAUGAGAUUGAAAAUUUCAACUUGAACUGCACCAAAAAGACAUUUGUAAUAUUGAUAAAACAUAUUUGAUGUGUGGUCAAAAGUACAAGGUUGACCAGGUGAUAGGUUUGAUAUAAAAGCAUGGACAUGAAAUUCCUCUAGGUGCAUCUCCAUCAUAACGUACCUACUGACAAGGUUGCAUGCCAUGCAUCACAAAUUGCAGAAAUCAUUCAGCUGAUCGUGUGUAUGGUUCAUCAGAAUUUAAUAUGGGAUUGAAAUUUACAGGAACUCAUAGGUACGCAUUAUGUUUGUUUUAUGUAUCAUACACUUAGCAGUUUGAAAUUUUUUGAUGGUAGCCAAUGGUCUUGUCUAAUUUUUCAUAUAUCACAAGCAUUUACAUGCAUCUUCUCAGUUGUGAAUUAUAGUUAAGACCUGCUGGUAGGCAAGGCAAGGAGACCUAGUUAUAGCAAUUUGAAAAGCUCGAAUUGCUGAGAUUGCAUAGCAUAUAGAUAAUUUGUUCAUCUCUUAGGCUACCAAGUAUAGUUGCAGUAGUUAAAGUUCACUGCUUCUGAUCAAAGAGGACUUCUUCUUGGAAAACCUGCAUUGUCAAACCCAGCCCCGCUGGUUCAACAGGUCCCUAAACCCCUCUCAAAACCUGGUGACCAACAGCACACGCCAAACCUGUCACACCAGUGGGACGAGUUUCAAUAAUCUUUUUGUUGAUUAUUUAUACAAAAUAAUGCUUUUUGUACAUGAGUCGGUCAUUGGUUAUGACAUGUGGUGAAAACAAGGGAAAAAAAAAGGGAUGACUUGUUUUAUGUUUUUCGACAUCUCAUAUGCAAUGUUGAUAUAUGUUUCUCCAAAAGAUACUCUAAACUUCUGUUUUAGGCAGUGAAGUUUAUUAUUUAGGUAGUCAAUUUUAGAGAACAAAUAUUUACCUAAAUUAUGGAACAUUAUUUGGGGUUACAAGGUACAUUAGGCAAGUUGAUUAAUAUUAAAGGAUAUAAUUUUAAUAUACAAUCUAAUAUAGUAAUAUUAAUUUAUAAAAGGUUAUCAUUUGCAUAACAUAAAUUUAGUAAUUAGUGAACGAUAUACAGGAGGAAUAGACGAUAGGUUGAAUCUUGUUAACUAUUAAACUCUUAACCCUUUAUCUUCACUAGUUCUUAGACCAGGUUGGCUUUGAAACAUUUGAAAAACUUCAUUGAGAGCGUAAUAAAUUUCAAUGUAAACAAUGCCAUCAUGACCAUAAAAUUUAUAUUGCCUUCAUAUUUAGGGUUACGUUAUCCAAUGAUGUCUGGUAUUGGUAUUAAGUCUUAACAGUGUGUUUUAAUCCCCUUGUUUUUAUUUUGCUUUUGAUUUUAUUGUUUAUUUUGUAGAGAGGAUGCCUCAUCCUUCACUCUCUUUCUUCUUCCUUAACAAAAUCUUUUUCUUUUACCCUGAAAGAAGUGCUGUCAUCCAUAAUCAUUUUUUAUUUUACAUCCAAAUAAAGAAUUUUAUUGAGCUUUGUAACCUUGGUAUCCUUUGGUUUUGUUGGUUUUUCAGAGGAGAGGGAGAAAGAUAUAACAAUGUUAUUAUUUUGUUAUUGAAACAUGGAUAUAUAGAGGGAAAAUAUAACAGAAAAUCUUAAUAAAAAUAUCUGCCAAAUCACAUCCAAACUCAUAAAUAAUCUAAAUGUUAUCCUAUCUUCAUAAUUUGACUUAUAAUCCUAAAAUCAUAACAUAUUUUUUGAAAGCGGAAAAGCACAUUCCAACAGGUUUUAUUUUACAUCCACAGUCAUAUUUUGCAAUCUACGUUCACUUCGUUAGUGUUCUGAUAAUUUGUAUUUUCUUCUUUGCAUGUGUUUUCCUUUGCCAUGGUGAUAUUGCAUAUAUAAUAUUCACUCCAAAUACAAAAUUUUCAGCUCCUAUGAUAUUAGGGAGUUUGCAAGCGUCUAAAUUUGAUUUAUGCUCUGAAAUGGAGGAGCUCAUAAAGAAAGAUAUUCUCUAUUGGAUUAUUUCCAGUGGAAGGAAGACAGAUAAUAGCUUCCAUCUUGAAAAUAUUUCCCCCUAACAAUUCCUCUGAGUCUGUAUCAAAGCAAACCAUAUCCAGCAUUUCCUUUUCUCCGGAAUUGUAUCUUCUAACCCUUUCUGUUGUCCUAUUAAAUGGAUUUUAAGCUCUAAAACAGGACUUGGUACAGAAACUUAAGGAGGCAGAUGUUGUUACACUUAACAUAAAGUAUGGAAAUGUUGAUAUCCCACACCAAUUUUUCUUGGCACUGAAGAUCUCCUUGUAAAUGGCAAUUUAACCAGGGGAAGGGGCUGGGAUGGAAAUUUUUCCAUGGGUAAGGUAGGAAAAUAUUGCAUUGAUUAUUCUUCAGUUAGUUGAUGCAUUUUACAAUUUUAAAUGUUGUGCUAUAAACGCAGGUGGAACAGUAUUUUUUUUUUUUUGUAUUGGAAGUCCGUAAUAUGUAUACCCAGUAAGAAAUUUCCCCCACCCAAAUCUUUUUUUUUGUUGUUACUUUUUAAAUUUUUUGAGGAGAUCUGCCGUGGAAAUCUUGGUGAUCUUGUUUGUGUAAUUCUUAUUCCCUAAUGUUACAGAUAAGAUCAAGGACAUCUUCUUAAUUCUGAUGGGGGAAGAACUAAUAUGAAGAACUUGUAUAGCGGGUCAAGUGCGUUGACCACCCAAUUCUCUCUCUCUCAGGAUACUCUGUAUGUUUCCUUUUCCUAACUAGGACAUGAAAAGUCAUACACUGUUUGAUGGACUACAACCGUUAGAAUGCUGAUAACACAGAAAUUGAAAUAAAAUUCAGCAAAACGUGCAGGAUGGUUUACUUUUUUGGCAUAAAUUCCGCCUAGUCUGCUGUAUACUGAUGAAAUUGGCUGAAUUAUGUUAAUGUUACAAAUCUGAGAAUGGAAUAAACUUUUGGUUUAAAAUCUGGGAGAUAAACAUUUGGAUUAGCCUUGCAAGAAUGACUGUUCAUCAGGCAUCAUUGCUCUACAAAAUCCUAUCUUGUGGGAUGAAGGUGAUGCAUUAAGUUUUUGUAGGUCACAGCUGAAUAAAUCAGUAAUGUUAGUUAAAUUGCCGAAGUUGUUUUGCAGAAUAUUAUCUGGUAUACUGGGACCUGGAGCUUAUGAUACCAAUUCAGACUUAAACAGAUUUUUUCAC